rnacentral:lncRNA from 1 species
UGCUGGGAUUACAGGCAUGAGCCACCGUGCCCGGCCCAUGUUGAUUAUUUCUUAUAGUCUUUUUUUGAAAUGGAGUCUCGCUCUGUCGCCCAGGCUGGAGUGCAAUGGUGCAAUCUCCGCUCACAGUAACCUCCACCUCCCGGACUCAAGUGAUUCUCCUGCCUCAGCCUCGCAAGUAACUGGAAUUAACAGGCAUGCACCACCAUGCCCAGCUAAUUUUUUUUUGUAUUUUUC